rnacentral:rRNA from 1 species
GACGAACGCUGGCGGCGUGCUUAACACAUGCAAGUCGAACGGAAAGGCCCUGCUUUUGUGGGGUGCUCGAGUGGCGAACGGGUGAGUAACACGUGAGUAACCUGCCCUUGACUUUGGGAUAACUUCAGGAAACUGGGGCUAAUACCGGAUAGGAGCUCCUGCUGCAUGGUGGGGGUUGGAAAGUUUCGGCGGUUGUGGAUGGACUCGCGGCUUAUCAGCUUGUUGGUGGGGUAGUGGCUUACCAAGGCUUUGACGGGUAGCCGGCCUGAGAGGGUGAACGGCAACAUUGGGACUGAGAUACGGCCCAGACUCCAACGGGAGGCAGCAGUGGGGAAUAUUGCACAAUGGGAGGAAGCCUGAUGCAGCAACGCCGCGUGCGGGAUGACGGCCUUCGGGUUGUAAACCGCUUUCGCCUGUGACGAAGCGUGAGUGACGGUAAUGGGUAAAGAAGCACCGGCUAACUACGUG